AUCUAGAAGAAGCAUGUUAAAUUGCCAAAAUAUUAAAAUAGCAGUUCAGGUCUGUAAGAGUCUUGCAGGCAUACAAACCACAGACUGUAAAUCAAGAUGGCCGCCGUGUCGCCACUUCCUGCCGCUGUGCUAAAUGAAGCCAAAAUCUCCGGAUACGGGAGCAGCCAUCUUGGUUGGUGACGUCAUUUGGAGCCAGAGUCUGCGCAGUAGUGAUCGGGGGUGGAGCCGCGGUAUCGAGGUCCCGCCCACACACACACCUGGCCGACCCAAUCGCGAGCAGAGCUCAGCUGUCAAUCAUGACGUGAAACCCCGUUUUUAUAACCAAACUUAUCAGAAAAACGAACACUUGAACAAACAGCGUGAUGAGAGCGAGCUGAACUGACAGAAACCAUCUUUGACUUUUAGUUUGUCCGUUAACAUGGAGGGGGCGGGGCUUCUGACCUGUACUGCUGCCCGCCACCAGGGGGCGAUGCAGAUGUUCUGGGGAGCUGACAUGUCGUCCAUGUUUAUAUACAGUCUAAGGUUCAGACAGAGGCAUGGAUGUAUUAUUAGAACUGGAUACCGGACCCAAAGAUGGCGCCUACGCCAUAAGUUCCUAGCUUGUGGGUUUACUUCCGCGGUUCGUGGCCCACUGAACACGCGCAGUAGUGUUUCUCCCGCUGGCCCGUAGACUUUACAUCGUGAUGACGUCACGGAUUUUUAAAUCGCUUUUCUCGGCUCGAGGAAAGUUUUACAAAUAUAAAACCGCCGUAGAUCAGAAAUCCAUAAUUAAAAGAGUCUUAAUGGACCUUGUUCUGCAGCUCGAGGCGUCCUGUCAACGGUUACAGGCGUCUCUUUUAUAACGGCGGCCUUUUCAGGGGGAUUUAUGCUGCAAUACUGCGAGUGGCCACUGGGGAAAAACUGGUAGCAAGGCCGAGCGGCGGCGAAUGAUACAUCCAUGGCCAGAGGCAGCGCGGUGUCAUACGAAGUCAAAGGAAAGACGGGAUUAGAUGCGAAGACGUCUCCGCGAGAGUUUCAAAUGUUUCACCCUGAGAGAAAAAUGCGCGAGUCUCCCGGAGCGUUGAGUCUAACGUACAGGUGGUCCAGCGGCCAAAUUCGUGCGAAAAUUAGAUUUGCUUCCAAACGGAGGCAACGUAUUUCAGAUUAAAUAUUCAAGAGUGAAAGACAAAACUUUCUUAUUUAUUUAUUAAAAAAAGUUUAACUUUGAAACUGCUCCAUCGGGACUCUGUGGGUUUGAUCCGAUUGGAUCGACAGGUGGCAACGUGAGGAAACAAACAUCACUAAACUCUGAUUGGGGGAUAGAAGUAGAGGUGACAUCAUUUUCCCCCAACUGAGCCCCGCCCACUUCAGACCAGUGAGAAGCGGCGUCACCGGAGACCCGAUCUCUCGUAGGAAGAAGCUGAGUGAGAAAACACGUUUCCAGGACGUUUAACGAAAGAAAAAGACACAAGAACAAGUUCGAGGUGAAACUGAAUCUGUCACUCACGUUUAUCUGACCGCUUUUGUUGUCACGGUAACCUCAGCCUACGCCCAUUUCCACUUCGCUCGAAGCAACAGAAAGUAAAUCAUUAAACGUCUCACGGUUCUGGAUAAAACAGGCGAACUGACGACGUCGCUGCGGCCUCGGAUUGUCAGAUCAAUCGAUCUGACCGCAGAUUAAUCGAUAAUGAAAAUAAUCACGACACAUCGUACAUGUUCAGCCUCAGGUACAGUUCGUCCUGCUGGGGGCGCUGCAGGGAACAUCAGGGAGUCGUUCAGAUGUAAAGGGUUCGUCCUCUGAGGAGCAGGAAUGUGUCGCCUCCACAGAAAAAACCUUUAAUAAAAAUCAGUUUAAUGCAGUUUUCUGUAAACGUUCGGCCGAGUUAUAAACUCUGAAUCACUGUAGUUCGUUUGUCUGCUGACGUCAGCGCUGAGCUCAUAAGAGCGGGCUGCGACAACCAAUCAGAGGGAGUCGAAUCACAAACACCUGAGAUCAGCUUUCUGUUUAUUCGUUUAACAAAUAAAACAAGUAAAUCUGCUCAAAGAUCAGAACAAUAGAAUCACUCACUGUUACGUAAACUUUCAAAUAAACGGUUUAAUGAUAUAAAGGUCGUUUUAUUCCCUGCUGUCCUUCUGUUUCCAUUUGUAUUCUGUGGAUGUUGACAGAUGUCUGAACGAUGUUUUUAUUCGUCAUUGAAUUAAUAAAGACGUAAAUGAUCUCA